UUUCUAUGGGUGUUAGUGCACGGAAAAAUUUGGUUUUUCAAGAACAAUUGUAUAGAAAAC
rnacentral:tRNA from 1 species